rnacentral:rRNA from 1 species
GACGAACGCUGGCGGCGUGCUUAACACAUGCAAGUCGAGCGGUAAGGCCCUUUCGGGGGUACGACGAGCGGCGAACGGGUGAGUAACACGUGGGUGACCUGCCCUCAGCUCUGGGAUAAGCCUGGGAAGGCCGGGUCUAAUACCGGAUAUGACUCCAUGACGCAUGUUGUGGGGUGGAAAGCCUUGUGCGGCUGAGGAUGGGCCCGCGGCCUAUCAGCUUGUUGGUGGGGGGAUGGCCUACC